UACAGAGGUGGCGAGCGUUGUUCGGAUUUACUGGGCGUAAAGGGCGCGUAGGCGGCCGCGUGUGUGGGGUGUGAAAUCUCCGGGCUCAACCCGGGAAAGUGCGCCCCAAACUGCGCGGCUCGAGUGCGGGAGGGGAGAUCGGAAUGCAGGGUGUAGCGGUGAAAUGCGUUGAUAUCCUGCAGAACACCGGUGGCGAAGGCGGAUCUCUGGAACGCAACUGACGCUGAGGCGCGAAAGUCGGGGGAGCAAACAGGAUUAGAAACCCCG
rnacentral:rRNA from 1 species